rnacentral:tRNA from 1 species
AGAAAAGGAAUUUAACCUCUAUUUCGUAGGACUACAGCCUACCACCUAAACAUUCGGCCAUCUUACCUGUG